AGUCUCUCUCUGUCUCUCUUUCACUCUCUGGCUCUCUUUCUGUCUCCCCUUGCUGCUGCCUAGUGGUCCAUCUGAUGACACGGCGGAGCCGGGGAUGAAGACCCCCUGGGAGCUGGCUGGCAACGGCACCGCUGAGCUGAGACGCAACUGGAGGAAACUCAUUUUCCGAAGAAGAAAAUGCCCUGCCCUCUGAGGGGCUGGCUUUGGGAGAAAACCUCCAGUCGACACAAAACUUGUCUACUGCUCUGUCCAAGAGGAUGCAUUGGGCAGCCUUCUCCAGCACCAACGGUGAUCGGGGUACCAUGCUGAGCCUAAUCUCUGCAGCAUGCUGUGGCCUCCUCUUCUCUUCCUGAUGCGCUGCAUGACUGACAUCAGCCUCCAUAAUUGACAAUUGCCGAGGGCUAUUUUCCACGUUGAGUGAAAUCAGAACAUCCAGAGCCACCUACAAAAUGGAUUUUAAAGCAGUUACCCAUGGUUAGCCUGAGGAGGAGGAUAAAGACAUUUGCAACCAAGAUGGUCAUCACAAGUGGAAAUGAAGAAGAGAAAGGCAACCAUGAAAAGGAAAGCAAGGAGGAAACUGUCCUUGCCAUGUUGGGGAUCAUAGGGACAAUUCUGAACCUGAUCGUCAUCAUUUUCGUCUACAUUUACACGACUUUAUGAACUGCAGUGGAGGAAGCCUCCCGGUGAGGUUUUCAAGCUUUUCCAGCGCAGAGGAUUGGCUGCUAAGGGGCAAGCAAACAUUUUACCCGUUGGCCGUCGGCUCCACUGAACCACCUCAGUGCAAUGGGAACGCCAUCAUAUAACGCCUGCCUGCAAGCGGCAGACUCUAAAGCACAAUGCAUUCUGACCCGCACGGCCAUAAACUGAACUUUCCUGGGGGAGAAGGUGGGUUCAGGGCAACCGAGGAAACCUCGCCGGUCAGGUCAACCUUGGAUCCAAUAGGCUUGUGUAUAGAAAUGCUAGCAGAUUGCGAUAUUCUCCAAGGGCCCCAUUAACUCCACAGCACAAAAUGUGGGCAAGUUGAAAAGUGUGCUAGAACCCCCCCUUUCACCUUCAGUCUGGAAUUGACAACCACUUAGGAGACGGACAUGGGGGGACUUGAUCCCAUUUUAUCGCGGAUGUCUCAAAAUCCAGUCUUGGGGAAAUAACCUGAUUGUGUCUUCAUUGGCUUGGCACUUGUAUCUGUUCCUACCAAUGUUUGUAAAUCUAUAUUUUUAAUAAAUGUGCUAUAUUUUUUAGCAUGAACCAAAUAUUUGGGGAUGCACUCCUGGAUCCAGAUAGGUUGGCUGGGUUUUACGUAGUCUCUCUCAACUACAAAUGUUUCUCUGUUCUGCAGUCAUAAUUCUACCGAUUUCCCUCCUCAUCUCUGAAGUCCUGGGUUCGAAGUCCACUUUUUCAAACCAUCACCCUCCGGCUCCCAAGGUGCCUGGUGUGAGGAGGAGGUUACAUUGGGAAGCUGAUCGCUGAAACAACAGAUUUAUCAAAAUACCGCGGGCUCGACCAAGCCGGCCUUCAAUGCAGGGACUACCAAUCUCUUGUACCGACCUUUCCCAACACUCAGUGCGGUGUGCUCUGCGCACGGUAAAUGCUCAAUAAAUACCAUCGAUCGAUCGAGUGAUAGGGAGUCUUUACCCAGAAUUGUACGGAAAGGAUGGCUACAGGAUGGACAAUAGGUGGUAUUUGAUGACCGCUGGGAAAUCGUGGCUUGGUGUGAUAAUUGCCUCCAUCAAGCGUCUGUUAAACUCUUUAGAGACACAAAAUAUUCAGACUUCUAAGACUGUCGGUGGUUAGUGAUGGUAUUUAUUAAGUACUUACCAAAUGCCAAGAUCGAGGGUAGAUAGAAGACAGUAGGCUCUUAAUAAAUACCAUUGAUUUGAUUACAGAUCACGGGACUCAGUCUGCAAGGGAGGGAAAGUAGGGAUUUUACACCCAUUUUACAAAAGAGGAAACCAAGGCUCCGAAAGAUGAAGUGAUUUACCCAAGGUCCCACAGUGGCCUGGUGCCAGAGUUGGGACCAGGGCCCUGAUCCUCCCAUCCUGGCCACACUGCCCCCCUGAAGACUGUUGCUUCUCUUUGGUGACUCUGACAAUCAGCUAAUCCAAUUCUAAUGUAAAGGGAAGAGGUAUGUCAAAGAACCAAGGCAGAGUAAUGACUAAUCAAGGGCAGCAACUAGGCUCGGGGUGGCAGACGGAAUGAUGAGUUGAGGAUUCAGGGUUUGACCGAAUAAGCCCCAUCUUAAAUCUAUCAGGUCAGACCCUCACUAGCUCGGGCUCCUGGACCACCAUUUGAUUUGGUGACGGCUAAAGGGCCUACUUCGUCCCUUGGGAACUUGCCCAAUUAUCCCGUUGGCCAAGCCGCUGAUAACCGUCCAAGAAGUGCCCUACGUUCUGGCAGGCUGGGGUGCAAUCGAUUACAGUUAGUCGAGUCAACCUGGACCAUUUCUGAAAUGGAGCUGGGCUCUUGGAAAGGGCCAUUAGGUUUCCCCAACCCCAGUCCGUGGCCCGAAAGAUUCCACGAGCCCAGAAAUCUGGCAGAACCAACCCCAGGAAAAUAAACUGGCCUGGAGAAGUGUGGUGGGAGGUACUGACCAAGGUGGAUUAGCCACGGGACUGGACGCUGAGAGUCGGGGGAAUUCCAGGGGACCUGGUUUUCGUAUGGAAAGUGUGUGAAAUCCUGAACAGUGACCUGAACUAAGUCAAAAAUAAAGGUGGAUUUAAAAGAA